GGGGCUGAUUCUGGAUUCGACGGGAUUCGCGAAACCCAAGGUGCAUGCCGAGGGGCGGUUGGCCUCGUUAAAAGCCGCAAAAAAAUAGUCGCAAACGACGAAAACUACGCACUAGCAGCUUAAUAACCUGCUUAGAGCCCUCUCUCCCUAGCCUCCGCUCUUAGGACGGGGAUCAAGAGAGGUCAAACCCAAAAGAGAUCGCGUGGAUGCCCUGCCUGGGGUUGAAGCGUUAAAACUAAUCAGGCUAGUUUGUUAGUGGCGUGUCCGUUCGCAGCUAACAAGCGAAUGUAAAGACUGGACUAAGCAUGUAGUACCGAGGAUGUAGGAAUUUCGGACGCGGGUUCAACUCCCGCCAGCUCCACCA
rnacentral:tmRNA from 1 species